AACAGGACACAAUUGGAGAAACUGGUUAUUUUACCAAGGCUUUGACUGGAAUGGUGCACUUUCCUUUAAGGAUCAAACAUGACUUAUGGAGCCAAUUAAAUCCCCUUGGGAAAACUGGCCUCAUUGCUUGUCUACACAGUUCCUGUCCAGGGUUCCUGACUUACGGAUGUGAGACUUCACAACCUGCUAAAAAUGAACUUUCCUAAUAACUCGGGACCUACCCAUCUAGGAAUAAACCAUCCUAUUCAUGACAGUGCCUGUGAAAGAUAAAGGAGAAAGAAUCAGGGUUGGAGAACUGGAAAAGUCUUGGCCAACCAAAUAGGCAACCCUGCAGCAAAGAUUGCCCAUUAGAAGAGUCAAAUGCUAGGAAGAAAUUGCAAACCCUACUAUUCUCACUGUGCUCAAACUUCGACUAGGAACUUCCACAAAGAGUGUGGCCUUGGCUUGAACAUUGCAGCAGCAGAUUAUGUAGGUGCUGAACUUGGAGUUUUGCACUUCUCACAGCUGACAGCAAAUUCUUUCUUCAAGGGAGACCUGAGCAGUCCUCCAUAUCUGCCAAAUUACUGCAUAGGAACAAAAAGGAGCCCUCCAUUCAUCUAAGAAGCAAAAUGAACUAGCAGAGAGAGCUUUGGCAUCAGGCAAAUCUGAUUGUAAAUACUUCUAGCAUAUAGUUGCUCUUACAUUGGUAUGUUGCCUAUUGUUUCAGAGUAUUACUUUCCUUGUCUAUAAUGGGAAAAUAAUAAUAAUUAUCUUAUGGUUAUUUGUUGAAUACAUGGGUAAAGUUAUUAUGAGGAUUAAAUAAGAUAACACUUGGGAAUAGCCUAAUAGAGUGUUUAGCACAUAAUGGAUGUUCAAUGGAUAUAUUAAAGUAAUAAAUUGCCCUAAUUUCUUAUUUGCAAAAGUUAAGAGACUCUGGUCACAACUUCUGAUGGAAUAUCUUAAAUAAUUCAUUUUUUUCCUAGACAUUUUAUGCACAAUAAUGGGACUGUGAUACACACAUUACCCCUUCUGCCUGAAGUGACUUGACUUUCCCUCUUUGUCACUCUGCAAGGUCCAUUGUCCAUUCUGAAGCAUUAAAUAACUAGUAUAAUAGGUCAUGAGGGAAAUUCCUGGCAUCUUAAUUUAAGUAUAUUACUUUGGCUGCAAGUCAAAGUUAUCAUUAUUAGGAUUUCUGGCAUCAGAACAAUCACUUGUAAUUCUUUCUGGAAGAAUUUUCUUGGUUAAGCAAUGCUAAUGAAAUCCUACUUAAACCAGCUAUAUUCUCUGGCAAUUUCCCAUCUAUGUAUGCACUGAUAAAUACUUGGAAGAUUCUCAUUCCUCAUUGAUUUAUUGACAUAAAAUCAUUUUGGUUCACUAUUACAAUUUUCAUUUCAUCUACAAUUAACCCAUUAAAUUUAUUAUUCCAAUUAUUCUUUACUCCUGGCACCUUAUGUUACUAUAACUGUUAUUUUAUACUAUUAUUAACACCUAAAUCUAUGAUACUGAAAAGGGUAAUAAUAAAUUUACAGUAGUUAUUUCCACAUCACCUUAGUUUGGGACAUAUUAUUGUUUACAACUUUACGUUACUACAGUAAUCUUGCUGUAUAAGUAUCUGUGUACAAGUUCUUUAUUUUUUACGGAAACAUUGAAAUAUUUAUUUGGAUUUUUUUCAGAGUUGGAUUGCUGGAUCAGGAAAUAUUAAUAUUUUAAAGACAUUUAUUACCAAACCAGUAUCAAAAAUAUCACUUUGGUUGACCAUGAUACCAGCAAUGGAUACAUGUAUAUGUUUCCCUGAAAUGCUAUGAAUACUGUUUUUCUGAGGCAUGAAGAGUGAUAAAAUAGUAUCACAGUUCCAGCAAUCACACCUACCAUCAAAGCAGGAAAAGAAGAAAAGCAUAAAGCAAGAGGUUUCACUUGAAUUUUGUCAAGAAAACAAAGACUCGUCCAAAAUUUUCUUUACAUCCUGUUGGUCAAAAAUAGUUUGAACUGGCAGCUCUAACUGCACGAAAGGUUGGAAGUAGUUUAAGAGUGACCACAAUUGAGAAAAAGAACAAGGAACUGGGCAAAGUUCAGAGAUGAGCAAAAGCACUAGUUUUCAUGAAGAGUUACACACAGAAUUAAUUAUGGCCUUUUAUGAAUCAAUAAUAUGCUUGCCUAUGUUCAAUCAGGAUCACAUGAUGACUGUGCUACCUCCAUCCGUCACAUCUUUAUUCAAUCAGGAAAAGAGAGAAGAGAGGUCAUAGCAACCAUGUCUAUCCAUCUUAGUAACAAUUUAGUUUUCUGGCCUGGCGCGGUGGCUCAGGCCUGUAAUCCCAGAACUUUGGGAGGCCGAGGCGGGUGGAUCACCUGAGAUCAGGAGUUCGAGACCAGCCUGAUCAACAUGGUGAAACCCCUGUCUCUACUAAAAAUACAAAAAUUAGCCAGGCAUGGUGGCGCAUGCCUGUAAUCCCAGCUACUUGGGAGGCUGAGGUAGGAAAUCACUUGAACCCAGGAGGCAGAGGUUGCAGUGAGCUGAGACUGUGACACUGCACUCCAGCGGGGGCAAAAAGAGCAAAACUUCAUCUCAAAAAAAGAAUUUAGUUUUCUGGAGGCUACUCUCACAGACUUAUGCUUAGCAUCUGUUAUAAGGUGAAUUGUGUCCUCUUAAAAGUAACAGGUUAAAACCCUAACCCCCAGUACCUCAGAAUGUAACUCUAUUUGAAGAUAGAGGCAAUAAAGAGGUAAUUAUGGUUAAAUAAAGUCAUCUGGGUGGGCCUUCAUUCAAUCUGAGCUGUAUUCUUUAAAAAGAGGGAAAUUUGGACACGUACACAAGACACCAGAGAUAUUCACACACAGAGGAAAGACUAUGAGGGGAUGCAGGUAGAAGGCAGCCUUCUGCAAGUUAAGGAGAGAGACUUCAAAAUAAAACAAAAUAAAACCAACUCUACUGACACCUUGAUUUUGGACGUCCAGCCUCCAGAACUAUGAGAAAAUAAAUUUCUGUCAUUUAAGC
rnacentral:lncRNA from 10 species